rnacentral:rRNA from 1 species
UCUUUCUUUGCUGGCGACCGGCGCACGGGUGAGCAACACGUAUCCAACCUGCCCUUUACUCGGGGAUAGCCUUUCGAAAGAAAGAUUAAUACCCGAUAGCAUAAUGAUUCCGCAUGGUUUCAUUAUUAAAGGAUUCCGGUAAAGGAUGGGGAUGCGUUCCAUUAGGUUGUUGGUGGGGUAACGGCCCACCAAGCCUUCGAUGGAUAGGGGUUCUGAGAGGAAGGUCCCCCACAUUGGAACUGAGACACGGUCCAA